rnacentral:rRNA from 1 species
GAUCCUGGCUCAGAAUCAACGCUGGCGGCGUGCCUAACACAUGCAAGUCGCACGAGAAAGCGGGCUUCGGCCUGCAAGUACAGUGGCGCACGGGUGAGUAACACGUGAAUCAUCUACCUCCGAGUGGGGAAUAACCUAGGGAAACCUGGGCUAAUACCGCAUAACACUUACGAGUCAAAGCAGCAAUGCGCUUGGAGAGGAGUUCGCGGCAGAUUAGCUAGUUGGUGGGGUAAUGGCCCACCAAGGCGAUGAUCUGUAUCCGGCCUGAGAGGGCGCACGGACACACUGGAACUGAAACACGGUCCAGACUCCUACGGGAGGCAGCAGUGGGGAAUUUUGCGCAAUGGGGGAAACCCUGACGCAGCAACGCCGCGUGGAGGAUGAAAUCCCUUGGGAUGUAAACUCCUUUCGAUCGGGACGAUUAUGACGGUACCGGAAGAAGAAGCCCCGGCUAACUUCGUGCCAGCAGCCGCGGUAAUACGAGGGGGGCAAGCGUUGUUCGGAAUUAUUGGGCGUAAAGGGCGCGUAGGCGGUUUGACAAGUCUGAUGUGAAAUCUCUGGGCUCAACCCAGAGUCUGCAUUAGAAACUGUCGGGCUUGAGUAUGGGAGAGGUGAGUGGAAUUUCCGGUGUAGCGGUGAAAUGCGUAGAUAUCGGAAGGAACACCUGUGGCGAAAGCGGCUCACUGGACC